rfam:Piloderma croceum F 1598 unplaced genomic scaffold scaffold_00083, whole genome shotgun sequence.
GCCCUCGUUGUCUAAUGGUUAUGACGUCAGACUUCUACCAAAAAUGAUAAAAUUCACGUAAUCUGGAGGUUGCGAGUUCGAGUCUCGCCGGGGGUU